AGGGAUGGCGGCGUGCUACACAUGCAAGUCGAGCGGAGGUUGCACUGUUUGUGUGACCUUAGCGGCGGACGGGUGAGUAACGCGUAGGCAACCUAUCCUAAGCACUGGGAUAACACUGGGAAACCGGUGCUAAUACCAGAUUAAGCAUUUCUAUGGCAUCAUAGAAGUGUCAAAGGAGUAAUCCGGCACAGGAUGGGCCUGCGUCCGAUUAGCUAGUUGGUGAGGUAAAGGCUUACCAAGGCUGCGAUCGGUAGCCGAACUGAGAGGUUGAUCGGCCACAUUGGGACUGAGACACGGCCCAAACUCCUACGGGAGGCAGCAGUGGGGAAUAUUGCGCAAUGGGGGAAACCCUGACGCAGCAACGCCGCGUGAAGGAAGAAGGCCUUCGGGUUGUAAACUUCUUUGAUCGGGGAUGAAUAAAUGACGGUACCCGAAAAACAAGCCACGGCUAACUACGUGCCAGCAGCCGCGGUAAUACGUAGGUGGCAAGCGUUGUCCGGAAUUAUUGGGUGUAAAGGGCAUGUAGGCGGGAAGGUAAGUCAGAUGUGAAAUCCUAAAGCUAAACUUUAGUGCUGCAUCUGAAACUGCCUCUCUUGAGUGCUGGAGAGGAAAGCGGAAUUCCUAGUGUAGCGGUGAAAUGCGUAGAUAUUAGGAGGAACACCAGUGGCGAAGGCGGCUUUCUGGACAGUAACUGACGCUGAGGUGCGAAAGCGUGGGGAGCGAACAGGAUUAGAUACCCUGGUAGUCCACGCUGUAAACGAUGGAUACUAGGUGUAGGAGGUAUCGACUCCUUCUGUGCCGGAGUUAACACAAUAAGUAUCCCACCUGGGGAGUACGGCCGCAAGGUUGAAACUCAAAGGAAUUGACGGGGGCCCGCACAAGCAGUGGAGUAUGUGGUUUAAUUCGAAGCAACGCGAAGAACCUUACCAGGGCUUGACAUACUAGGGAAUACCUCAGAGAUGGGGUAGUUCUUCGGAACUCUAGUACAGGUGGUGCAUGGUUGUCGUCAGCUCGUGUCGUGAGAUGUUGGGUUAAGUCCCGCAACGAGCGCAACCCCUGUGUUAGUUGCCAGCAUUUUGUUGGGCACUCUAGCGAGACUGCCGGUGAUAAAUCGGAGACGUGGGGACGACGUCAAUCAUCAUGCCCCUUAUGUCUGGGCUACACCACGUACUACAAUGGCCUACCUACAGAGGGAAGCGAU
rnacentral:rRNA from 1 species